rnacentral:lncRNA from 1 species
CCAGGGCCGGGGUCCACCCUGGCAGCGACGCGGGCUCCUCUCCCUAAGGACAAGGUCAAGGAUGAAGGAUCAAUGUCAAGUUAUCUUAACGGUGGAAAGCGACCGUCCAAGGCAGCACUCCCUGCUCUCCGCGCUUCUGCUGUUCUUGCUUGAUCUGAAAGUGCCAUUUUGAGGGGGAAAAGCACCCAGGCACCGAGAAGACGUGAGGGCUUCGCUUUUCCUCCCACAAGGGCGAAGAAGUGACGCUGGGAGCCUCGGAAGGCUGAAUUCUGCCAAGGCGAACUCUUGGAGAGCAUAGUCUGUCCCUGGCAUCGCACCACACCUCGUACCUGCUGCAGAACUGUCUGUAACAGCACACUGGAAAAAAAACAAAAGGUACGUGUGGGGGCAAUUACUUUAUGAUCCCUCCGCUCGGGGCUGGGGAGCAAGGAUGGUUAAGCUAGCGUCAGCGGGCAACAAAGACCUCUUGGCAAACCCUGCCAACAUAAACUGGAGCAGGAACGCGAUAAAAUAUAAUAUUCAGCUUCUCUGACAACCCGAUUUCGCAUCGCAAGCGGCUUUUCAGUGUGACCUGAGCCCACCCGGAGAGCCCGAACGACCCCGGCGCCCCCCAGCAGCCACGGUUUUCACCGAUUCCCCGCAGGAUUUUCCUCGGGAACACGGACUCUCCGGAAGGUACAGUUUAACUUUUCAUACGUCCCCGCCCCCAGGCAGCGCUGUCUGUCUGUCUGUCUGUCCCCUCCGAGGGACCCACCGCGGGGGGCCGUCGCGCUGUGCGAGCAGGGAGCACAGAGUCAGGAAAACUCCUGUAAAUCCCUCACGGAUGGAAGAGAAAACCAAUAAAGAACUGU